rnacentral:rRNA from 1 species
UACAGAGGUCCCAAGCGUUGUUCGGAUUCACUGGGCGUAAAGGGUGCGUAGGUGGCUUGGUAAGUUUGAUGUGAAAUCUCCGGGCUUAACUCGGAAAUGGCAUUGAAUACUAUUGAGCUGGAGGUUUGGAGGGGGGACUGGAAUUCUCGGUGUAGCAGUGAAAUGCGUAGAUAUCGAGAGGAACACCAGUGGCGAAGGCGAGUCCCUGGACAACACCUGACACUGAGGCACGAAAGCUAGGGGAGCAAACAGG